UACGUAGGGCGCGAGCGUUGUCCGGAAUUAUUGGGCGUAAAGAGCUCGUAGGCGGCCUGUUGCGUCCGCUGUGAAAUCCCGGGGCUCAACCCCGGGCUUGCAGUGGAUACGGGCUGGCUAGAGGCAGGCAGGGGAGAACGGAAUUCCCGGUGUAGCGGUGAAAUGCGCAGAUAUCGGGAGGAACACCGGUGGCGAAGGCGGUUCUCUGGGCCUGUACUGACGCUGAGGAGCGAAAGCGUGGGGAGCGAGCAGG
rnacentral:rRNA from 1 species